UCAAUAUCGUUGCUCUCCUUCUUCUUGCUGUUGUUUUCACUGACGCUGCUGACUGCUGAUAUUCUAUAUAUUUUUUAGUGAAUUUUUAAUGCAACCGCCUUGUGUUGAAAUUUUCGAACUUGGAAUGUGCCAUUUUUGAGGUUAAGGUGGCUUCGCCAAUGUCACAUUCGAUGGCGUAAGAACAAAUGUCGUGGCGCGUAUAACGCAGCAACAUACAGGCGUCACGGUUUGUCGCGUCUCGUCUUGCUGCCAAAUCGUUUGGUGCAGAACAUUUGGUGUCGCCAGAACGUUUUCAACGCGCUCGCUUAUUAGCUUCAUUGUCGUUUGCAAUUGCUGUUAAUUCUAUAUUGCUGUCUUAUUGUUGCUGUGGUUGUUGUUGCUGCAUAGCUAUUUAAAAAGCCAAUACCGCUCCGCAUUUUAACAAAAACCACGAAAAUCAAUAGAAACCAUAUAAUGAGCACAAUUAGUGGAAACAAAAGUCAAUUUAAAAAAAGUAUAAAUGUAACUUUGGUUGCACCGAAACUCAAAUACCCUACACAUAUAUAAAAUAUUUCUUAUAAAAACUUUAAUCAGUCAAUUUGUAUGGCAGCCAUAUGCUAUAGUGACUCGAUCUGAGAUAUUUGUUCGGAUAUAGCGCCGUUAAUUUCGAUAUUAAUCCAUGCCAAAUUCGGUGAAGAUAGCUCGUCAAAUGAAAAAGUUUUCCAUACAACCACUUGAUUUCAAUCAUUCAGUUUGUAUGGCAGCUCUGUGCAAUAGUGAUCCGAUAUCAACUGUUCCGACAAGUGAGCAGCCUUUAGGUGACGAUAUGUAUUUACGGAGAUGGCUAAAUCAACUCAACUCGUGUCUGACGUCUUCUUUUGAAUGUUAUAAACAUAGUGGCAAACUUAAUAUAAGGUGUUCAGGGUAUAUAUUGCUGAAAGUUAAUAUUUAAUCGAAUAUAUGAGCAUCUCACUGUUCUCAUUUUUGACAAAAGUAAAGCAAAAAAUUGAGAAAAUCUAAGCCAAUUAGUGCAAAUAAAAUUAAUUAAAUAUUUCAGUUCUUUCACUUUCAAAAGUAUGAUUAUGAUUUUGAUUUCAAUAGUAAAUUAGUGAUUUCAGAAAAAAGUUUAAAGAAAUGAAAUUUAUAUAAAAACCUCAUCAAAAAAGUGUUUUCAACAUAAUAUUUUUCGUUUCAACAAGUUCGAAACAAGUUUAAACCCACUGAUAACCCAGUACAUUGAACACAGUAUUAAAUUUUUUUUAAGUUUUUUGUACGUAUUUGUUAUUGUUAUCUAAAAAUUCACGACAAAGAUAUUUUCUGCUUCGUUCCUCGAACUAUGAUGCUAUGUAGGCUAUGGUGCUUUUCUCCGCCAAAAUGACUGGGACCGAAAUUACAUGUGUGUAUGUCAUUGCCUCUUGCACCUGUAUUAAAAGCUUCAGUAAGGUUUUCCUUGAUUCCAAGCUUAGUUUCAAGCCGACACUGAGUGGCUGAUUGAUUUUCAUGAGUGGACGUUUUUUCAUGAGAGAAGGUUAAGAAAAUAAUGAAUUUCAAAAACGAAAAUUAUUUUGAUCAGUUUCAACAUAUACAACUUUAAUUAAAUUACUAAUGAAUUAGUUUUUUUAGUAAUUGCAUUUUUCAAAUCGGACCACAAUGGUUGUUCAGAUUUCUGAACAGUUCCCAACGGCAUACAUAAGUUUUUCUUAUCUUUUAAUAGUUUAGUUCACAUAACCAGCAACACAGCACACUUUGCCAGCAAUCAUCACAUCGGUGGGCCGUUUUAUAUCAUCAAUUAACUACUCGCGACAACCAUAAGAUUAUAGAAUGUACUCUUGGCCACCGAGUCGUUGAUGUUGAUGGCUGGCGCACCGAGACGUCUCUCCUUCACCAAUUUAUAUAAAUUGUGCACAUCGGUUGUAGUUUCUUCGUUCAAAUCCUUGACGCCCUUCGGGUAUUGUGGGCACUUUUCAUGCACUGAUUUGGUUAAUUCACCACCAUUAUCGAGAACAGUAAGGUCAGUUCAAUACUCCAUAAGUAUUCUUUAUUCAUCAUCCUUUGAAGGGUAACACUGAGCUAGUCUUCCUUUUCAAUGGGUCUCGGAGACUAUUGGCUGAUUCAGACAACAUCGUCUUUGGACUUAAGCUUUGACAGAAAAAUUCAAUGCAUGCUAUUGUAUAACUAUGACGGCAAAAAAGUUUCCGAGACGAAACAAAAGAAAGUGAUGCUUUGAUAAGCAGCUAUCCUCAUGUUUACCGGGUUUAUUAAGUUUGCCACGAAGUUUGAAAAGUUUCGAAGUUGUAGAAGCUUUUUAUUUGACAAGAUCUCUUCAUAAAAUGUGGCUGUUGAGGUCCAGGCCCAAUGCUGGCUGGCUUAACUUGCUUUCGUUGACUUUUCUAUUCCAAAGUGCUUGAAGCAAAAGUAGAUUUGGUUUCGUUUCAUAUGCUCUAGUAUAGUUCUAUUCAGUUUUGACAAUUCUCACAACAAAGCAAGUAAAGCUAGCCAGCAAUAUGCCAGGCCCUUUAAUGUUUUCUAAAGUAAAGCUACAAUAAAUGAAGAACUGUUUCAUGCAUGUGGUUGGUGUACAAACUGAACGAUCAAAAUCAGCUUUUUAUAUGGAAACCUUUUUUAUUUGACCUGAUAUCUUCGCGAAAUUUGUUGAGAAUAAUACGUGAAAACGGUACUUUACAGAUAAUAUUCAGAUCGGACCACCAUUUCAUACUUACAUAUGUAUAUAUGUAGCUGCCACACAAACAGGCUGAUCAAAAUCAUGUUCUCUUAAGAAAAAUUUAACCUAUGAUGGGCUAGCUGCGGUGCAGUCGAAGUUAAUAUAUUUUCUUGUUAUUUUAAUUAUUCUCUCAUUGUAUCGAAAUAUACUUUUGAAACUUUCUUUAUCGCAUCCAUUGAGCUGAAAAUAACCAAAUAAGAAAUUUUAAAUAUCAGAAAGGAGCACGGAAAGCAAAACCUUCAUUUGGCGUACCUAUUGGUUAUGUCUCUUUAAUGUCAUUGUGAGAACUGUCAAGCGAAGCAUUAAAUGUUCUCUAUAAAUAAAUGAUAUAUUAUUAUAUAAUAUAUCGUCACCUAGAAUGCAAAACAAAGUAUCAUAAGAAAAAUAAAAAUUUUAAUUUGUAUUGCUUAAGAUUCACUACAUCAUAUUGCAUACAUAUAUGCAGCAUACAAUUUUCAGUUUCCGUUGUCAGAUAUAACCAAUAUAUAACCAUUUUAUAACCAAAACUCAACUUUUACUUCAAUAUGAGUGGUUUGUAUUAUACUUGUAUCGUUUUUCCUUCGCCUUUAAAUUUAUGAAAAGUGGUGUUACGUUUGUUUGCAUUUAAAGAGACGAUAUAUGAUUUUUAGCAACUUUUUAUAAAAAAUUUACUGAUAAUUUUUCCGUAAAUAAUUUUCCGAUAUUUUUGUCCACCAUGUUGCAAAAUUUAUUGUAGAUAGUACGAUCACCUGAAAUCACUCUUCCCCGCAGAGACUGGAAUACGGUGAUUACGCAAGUAAAGUGAUCGCCAUUUUGUAUCAAAAUGUCAUAUAGAUAUACAUAUGUUUUAUACAUGCAAAUAUAUUUAUGAUUAAAAAAGCCUAAAAGCAAGAAUUUGAUUCCUCUAGCUUUACUCCUAGAAUAAAUUCGCAACAUUAAGCCCUUUUUGAAGCGCUAGAUGGGCACAGCUCCUUAAGUAAAAUGUUGGUGACUUGUCAUUGCCUAUCUUACGAGUCAUUUAAAUUUAUCUUCAUUAAAAACUAAAAUUGAUUUUGAUUUCUAAAUUUUUAUCACCAAUUAUUGUUGGUGUAGGGAUCCGAAAUUGUUACAAGCAUUUAUUUAUGUCAGAACUUAUUCAAUGACCACGCUUCAAUAGUAAAAAUAUUUACAAAAUAAACCAGUAAACGGCAUUUUCCAGCAGGUACUGGCACACUCAUGCAUACUUACACACAUACACAUGCAUGUAUGCCCAUUUUCGCAAUUACGGAUUAAAACUCUUAAUUUCAGCACAGCGAAAGGGCUAAGUUUUAUGAAAAUAACCUACAUACAUACAUAUAUAUAUAUGCUGCAAACCACAUAAUUACAUGCAUACAAUAGCAUAUACCAUAUUUACUGAAUGCAUAUAGAGCACCCAUUAUGUGACCUUCAGAAAUUUAGGAUGACCAAAGCAAAUUCAUUAUACUUAUAUAAUGCAUAUAAGUAUGUAUGUAUGCAGGGAAUAAUUACAAAAGGUGUCAAGGUGCUUAGAGAUAACAAAAAUAGUAAAAUAGUAUAACCAUAAUCCAUUUAUGACCAUGUAAUAAUGUGGUAAAAAUCUAGUCUACGAAAGAUAAAUAAGAUGUUUUGUAGUACGGUAUUUAGUGGCUCCGAUUGCAAUAAUGAGCAACAGCAUCCGCGCUGAAGGUAGUAAAAUGCGAAGGCGUGCCGGAAAUACCGAGCAUUUUGACACAUUUGCGAAGGAUGAAAGACAAAAGUAUAAGCGAUUUUUGAAUGAAGAAAGAGAAACACAAUUUUUACUACAAAAGCCAUAAAUACGUAGCUAUUUUAGUAAAAAGAAUCCAAUAUAAAAUAUCAUAAUGGCCAUUUAAUGACUUUUAAGCACAGAAAAUAUAUUUUCAUACUUCGAUUAUGGAUUGAAUAUUUGCCGUAUACGUGUUUUCCUUAACUGGCUAACUGAAGGAGCGUUUCUACCUGUGCUACCUAAAGCACAUAGCUGCCAAGCCAACUAGUCAAUAGAAAUCAGUAUAAUGUUCUUUUUAUACACGUUUAUGCUAUAAUAAAUACACAUGUAUAUGUGACCUGAUCUACGGAAAGGAGGCUUAGGUGUCAAAAAAUCAAUUUUAACUUUUUAGUUGAUUCGGAUGGAAGAUGAGAUGAGUUUAUUUUUACCAGCUGUUUCCCAGAAAACUAGUUUUCGCACGUUAGCUGCCUUUUCAUAGACCAGGUCACCUAUAAUUAAUAUAGUUUCGAUGCAGCCGAAAUUCACUUUUUUCUUGUUUUUUCUUCGACUAAUAGUCUUAUCUUAUUUUAGUCCUUCAAACGUUCCAAAUUUGCCAAGCUUGUUUUCACUCUUUUUUUAAAUACUGCAUCCAUCCUGAUAUCGGACUCGUGCACUUUUUAUUAUAUUUUCGUUCGUAACAGCCGAAUCUACGUUCUUGUUUUCGUUGCACUAUUAGCGCAUACUGAACUUAGCAAACCGCAUACUAGUAGUUACUUCGGGUCAGGGCUCAGCCUAGAUUGUAUAUUAGCAGAAGUCCGCGUUACUACUUCCUAUUUCCAAAAAUUUAAGUGUAUCUUUAAGCGCCGUCGUUUUACAAGACAGAUAAAAAUCGCUGAAAUAGCUAAAGGCUAUCCUAAAAAUCGAGUUUGAAAAGUAUUUCGACAAUUGUGAGAAGCGCUGACAUAAGUGCAUAAUACCAAAUGGGGACUAGUUUGAUUUUUUUUGAUUAACUUAAUGUCACAGAAUUAAUAUUGCAAAUAUGUAUAUAUUUUUUUCAAAAAACCAAAGUCCCCGUGGUUUUUGAACACAUCUCCAACAUUUUCUUCUUCUUUGUUGGCGUAGAUAUCGCUUACUGCAGUGCGCCAGUCGUCCUUGCUUAUUACUGUUUGGCGCAAAUUAGAGACUUCAAGUGUAGCCAGGUCUUCCGCAGAGUCUUUAUCUCCUAACCUAACGCUAACUCAUAAGAUGUGGUCGUCGUCCAUGGCUCUGCAUCAAAUAGCAGGACGGGAAUGAUGAGUGACUUGCAGAAUUUGGUCUUUGUUCGUUGAGAGAGAACACUAUUUCUCAAUUGCCUACUCAGUUCGGUGCUACCUGUUGGUAAGAGUUAUUCUGCAUUGGAUUUCGAGGCUGACGCUGUUAUUGGUUUUAAUGCUGGUUCCAAGAUAGACGAAAUUAUAAACGACUUCAAAGUUAUGAUUGUCAACAGUGACCCGGGGCACCUCGUCUAUAUUCUUAUAAUAUUUGUAUUUUGUAGAUUAACAUAAGUACAGUAAAUGAACAUAUUUUUCUAUAUUAUAUAACCUCUAAUUUUUAUUUUUUUUUUGAUCAUUGUAGGAAGUAUGACUUUUAGACAUAUACAUAUAUAUAUUAUAGACUUAUUCGUGACCUUAUCAAGUGACACUUUAGUAGAACAAAUAUAAACAGCUAUUUUAUAAGAAUAUUGCUAAUUUUUCCACAUUCUCUACCUGACACUUGCAUCCCUACUAAUUAAAAGUGCAACAAAAAUAUUUAACUUGAAACUUGACAGUUAACAAGCAUUAUGUAGAAUUAUAUGCAAAUUAAGUGAACUAAUUGAUAAAACGAAAAUACCUUAUUAUAUGUGACAUUAUUAUGUAACACUUUUCAUUAUAUGAUUGCAUAGCGCUUACUUAGGCAUGGCAGUACUACUUUUUUAAUACACUUCACUAGUUUUAUAUAUUAGCUUGUCACAACGUCAUGGAUUUCUAAUUAGUUAGUGUUAUUUAUGUCGUAACCUUUGUUGUUGUUGGUGCUCAUCAUGCCGAUUGUUUAUUGUUUCAAUUAUUUGGCUUGCUAUUCAGUUGGCAGUUUUCGAACAAACUUUAGAAGUACUCAUCAGCAUAAUCGCCGCAUGUAUAUAUGUAUCUAUAUAUGUAUAUGUAUAUGUAUAUAUACGCACAUAUGUGUUUAGCUAUUUACUCAUUUCUAUUUAAACAAUUUAUUUAUAUGCGAGUCGCUAGCGGCGCGUUUCGAAUACAUUUUCACUUUUUCCAUAUUUUCGAAACGAAUCUUAAAUUCGCCGUGCGUUUCUGCCAAGUGUGAGGUCCUCAUUUGUGUUUGUAUAGUAUGUGUGUGAGUGUGUGUGUUGCAUGUGUCGAUUAUUGCACAGAAAAUUGUUUUGUUUAUACGAGACAUUAGUACUCUCGCUGGCUGAAGAAAAAAUUCAAAUAUCGCCAGCAAUUAAAUAAUCUCUAAUGAGUGUUGAUAAUUAAUUUAGUAGCAACUACUCGUGCACAUACACAAACAUACAUAUUUACUUAUGUAUAUUUACCUCAUUGUAUGCCAGUAUUUAGGUUGAUUAAUCUGUGUGUUGUUUUGAUAGAGGUGUUUCGUUGUCAAUAAAAUAUAUACAUAUACAAACAUACAUACAUACGGAUUUUAAUUUGUGUGAAAAUAUUAAACAAAUAAUAAACAAAUGAUUUAGUAAAAUUAACAGCAACAACAACAACAGCUGCAGUAAAUGGCACAGCCAUGUUCAUACAUACAUAUUGUAUAUGUAUGUAGCUUGUAUAUUUGGCAUCAAAGUGAUGGCCGAAAUCAAACCGGCAUCAAUGAAAUUUUUGAUUUUACGUUAAAAUGUUUGUUACGACCUCGCGCGUGUUACAAGCAAAUGCGGAAACCGGAAUGGGAAGCAGCCUUUUUACUUUGGAAUUAUCUCUACAAGCGUUGAAAUCACGUCAACCAGUACGCACCGUUUUUUUUGAAGCCCCCACUCCACCGGCCCGUAUCUCGACGAAUUUUGGUUUUUUUUUCUUGCAAUUUUUUUUUAUAUUAUUAAAAUGUCAAUAAAAAACAUAUAAAAAAAUGGAUAA